AUUGAACGCUGGCGGCAUGCCUUACACAUGCAAGUCGAACGGCAGCGCGGACUUCGGUCUGGCGGCGAGUGGCGAACGGGUGAGUAAUGCAUCGGAACGUACCUUUCAGUGGGGGAUAACGUAGCGAAAGUUACGCUAAUACCGCAUAUUCUGUGAGCAGGAAAGCAGGGGAUCGCAAGACCUUGCGCUGAUUGAGCGGCCGAUGUCAGAUUAGCUAGUUGGUGAGGUAAAGGCUCACCAAGGCGGCGAUCUGUAGCGGGUCUGAGAGGAUGAUCCGCCACACUGGGACUGAGACACGGCCCAGACUCCUACGGGAGGCAGCAGUGGGGAAUUUUGGACAAUGGGGGCAACCCUGAUCCAGCCAUGCCGCGUGAGUGAAGAAGGCCUUCGGGUUGUAAAGCUCUUUCGGCCGGGAAGAAAUCGCAACGGCUAAUAUCCGUUGUUGAUGACGGUACCCGCAUAAGAAGCACCGGCUAACUACGUGCCAGCCGCCGCAGUAAAAC
rnacentral:rRNA from 1 species